rnacentral:rRNA from 1 species
UACGGGGGGGUAAGCGUUGUUCGGAAUUACUGGGCGUAAAGGGCUCGUAGGCGGCCAACUAAGUCAGACGUGAAAUCCCUCAGCUUAACUGGGGAACUGCGUCUGAUACUGGAUGGCUUGGAUUCGGGAGAGGAAUGCGGAAUUCCAGGUGUAGCGGUGAAAUGCGUAGAUAUCUGGAGGAACACCGGUGGCGAAGGCGACAUUCUGGACCGACAUUGACGCUGAGGAGCGAAAGCCAGGGGAGCAAACGGG